rnacentral:lncRNA from 1 species
UAACAGCCCAAAACACAUUAUAAACUUCCUACCAGGAACAAUGGAAGAGUGAGAUGACUCUGGCCCUCAUUCUGCUUUAGAGAAGUACCUGCAGGGACUUUGCCCUGAGAACUUGUCACAUUUUGGUUGUGUUACUAUAUAUUACGUUCUUCCCUGGAAAACCUGGAGGACAGGGAGAAAGUCUGAUCGUACUGCAUAAAAGAAGAGAUUUCUCUUUAGCUUUGUGGGAGCCAGGGUUCCAUCUUCUAUAAGAGUCCAAAUUCCAAAUGUCUACAACCUGGAUGCUGUUCCCACAAGGAAGAGUUUCAUCAACAGAAGUACCAUCAGCACAGUCUAUUUUCUGAGAU